rnacentral:rRNA from 1 species
UACGUAGGGUGCGAGCGUUGUCCGGAAUCAUUGGGCGUAAAGGGCGCGUAGGUGGCCCGGUCAGUCGAUGGUGAAAGCGCGGGGCUCAACUCCGCGUCGGCCGUCGAUACUGCUGGGCUUGAGCACUGUAGAGGCAGGCGGAAUUCCGGGUGUAGCGGUGGAAUGCGUAGAGAUCCGGAAGAACACCGGUGGCGAAGGCGGCCUGCUGGGCAGUGGCUGACACUGAGGCGCGACAGCGUGGGGAGCAAACAGG